rnacentral:rRNA from 1 species
UGGGGAAUUUUCCGCAAUGGGGGCAACCCUGACGGAGCAAUACCGCGUGCGGGAGGAAGGCCCUUGGGUCGUAAACCGCUUUUAACAGGGAAGAAGUUCUGACGGUACCUGUUGAAUAAGCCUCGGCUAACUCCGUGCCAGCAGCCGCGGUAAGACGGAGGAGGCAAGCGUUAUCCGGAAUUAUUGGGCGUAAAGCGUCCGCAGGUGGCCUAGCAAGUCUGCUGUUAAAGCCCAGGGCUCAACCCUGGAUCAGCAGUGGAAACUGUCAGGCUAGAGUGCGGUAGGGGUAGAGGGAAUUCCCAGUGUAGCGGUGAAAUGCGUAGAUAUUGGGAAGAACACCAGCGGCGAAGGCGCUCUACUGGACCGUAACUGACACUCAUGGACGAAAGCUAGGGGAGCGAAAGGGAUUAGAUACCCCCGUAGUCC